rnacentral:lncRNA from 1 species
AUCAAACAUAGUGUAAACAUAUCACAUGCAUAUAUAUAAUUAAGAUACACUUAUCCAAAUCUCCUCCCACAUCCGAUCCUUGACCUGAGGGUCCAUCAAUCAUCAGUCUGUGGGCAGUACGGGAAUGAUGUCAGUCCACCUCACAAGCACUCCAAAAAAAGAAUGCAUCUCCUACGUCGUCUCUCCUACUAGCCUCCCCUU